CCCCCCCACACACAGCACUCUGAGCAACUGCCCCCCCCACACACAGCACUCUGAGCAACUGCCCUCCCACACACAGCACUCUGAGCAACUGCCCUCCCACACACAGCACCAUGAGCAACUGCAUUCACACACACAGCACCAUGAGCAACUGCAUUCACACACAGCACUCUCAGGAUCUCCACUCUCACACAGCACUCUCACACAG